CUCCAUCCAUGGCAGCAGCCCCAGCAAUAAUACCACCAUUCAGACCAUGUAAACACACAACAGUAAACCUCCUCAACCCACAACGCCACCGGGAAAACAAAUUUCAAGAUCCAAUAAGAAUAUCAAAAAAACUACGCAGGAUCAAAAUCAAGAAUGAGUAACUCUUGGCUGUACAAGGGAACGGCGCCGGUUGGGCUACGCGACGCCGCGCCGCUGUAGCGUUGCUGGGGCGCUCACAGGCUGCAAUGGGCCUCGCUACCGCCACGGAUGGACAGUACCUGGCCUCGCUGCGUUGCCGUGCCUUGUGCCAUCUUCCGAAUCAGAUUUGUUGAUGAUAUCACCUCACGGUUCCAAAAACGAAGAAAAUUAUCACAACUCUUCCAUAAUUUGGCCAUUUCUUCUCACUAUAAAUGAAGUAAUAUUGCAGUGGAGGAUCAGGAAGUGCUUCUUUGAUGCUUUUCUCAAUGCCGCAGGUGUGAGUUUCUUGGUGGACAAAACUAAGAGGACUUAGUUCUCCAACCACAAACAAGGGCCGAUUGUAAUAAUUCCUCAUCAAUAGUUUUUGUAUAACAUUUUAUAAUCUUGGAUGUUGCUUUUUAAAUUUUCUUUGUAAUAUCAGAAUUGUUGCCAAUCCUGUCUUCAUCAACCCCUUUUGUUUAUUCCAUUUCUAAAUCUGUUUGGAAUCUUCACUCAAUCACCAUCUAAAUUUUUUAUCUUUUGAUAUAAUAUUUCUCAAUCAUUAAUCAGACCCACAAUGUUUAUUGUUGUCAUAUUUUCAAGGAAACUUUGUUUUAAAGGUGAUCUACAGUAAUAAUUCUUCCAGAUUCAUUGGAGGAGAACUUUGUUUGCUAGUUGAUUACACUCAGAAAGCAAUUGAAAUCCGACUCUUUUUCUUUUGUUUGAUUUUUAUGCAGCAAUAAAGUGAUCAGCUUCAGCAAUCCGGCAUUGAGCAUAUUCCUUAAUGGCAGAUUUGUUGGGAAUAGGAUGUACACUGCUACAAGUGUCGGAUCUUGUAUCACUCAUGAUGACAUUGUUUCUAAAGGAUUUCAGGCAACCAGUGGUAGAGCUUUUCUAUUUAGCCACGCAAUAAACAUCGUUGAAGGGCGAAAGAGAACCGGCAUCUAAUAACUGUCUCCAUACAGUUGCUGAUGUAUUCUGCUCUGAUUGUGGAGA